ACGAACGCUGGCGGCGUGCUUAACACAUGCAAGUCGAACGAUGAACCCGAGCUUGCUGGGGGGAUUAGUGGCGAACGGGUGAGUAACACGUGAGUAACCUGCCCUUGACUCUGGGAUAAGCGUUGGAAACGACGUCUAAUACCGGAUAUGACCCCUACCGGCAUCGGUUGGGGGUGGAAAGAUUUUUUGGUCAAGGAUGGACUCGCGGCCUAUCAGGUAGUUGGUGAGGUAAUGGCUCACCAAGCCGACGACGGGUAGCCG
rnacentral:rRNA from 1 species